rnacentral:rRNA from 1 species
UUCAUUGAUGAUAUAUCGGUAUUCUCCAAGAAUAAGCAAGAGCACGAGGUGCAUCUGCGUUUGGUAUUGGAGAAAUUGAGGGAACAUCAGCUGUACGCCAAGUUUAGCAAAUGUGGGUUUUGGCUGGAUGAGGUAGCAUUCCUUGGACAUGUUGUGUCAGGUAAUGGAGUUGCAGUUGAUCCAUCUAAGGUUGCUGCAGUUACAGAGUGGGAGACACCCACGACAGUUGGAGAGAUUCGCAGCUUUUUGGGCCUUGCAGGUUACUACAGGAGGUUUAUUGAGAACUUUUCUAAGAUUGCAAAUCCUAUGACUGAAUUUCUGAAGAAAGAGAAGAAAUUUGUUUGGACUGAUGAAUGUGAAGCCAGUUUUCAGGAGUUGAAGCAGCGUUUGGUUACAGCACCAGUCUUAACUCUGCCGGAUAUACAUAAGGACUUCCAGGUAUAUUGUGAUGCUUCUCGUCAAGGACUUGGGAGUGUUUUGAUGCAGGAAGGUAAAGUUGUUUCAUAUGCCUCACGUCAGCUUAAGAAUCAUGAGCAUAAUUAUCCUACACAUGAUUUGGAGUUAGCCUCAGUUGUGCAUGCAUUGAAAACUUGGAGGCCAUAUCUUAUUGGUAAUCAUUGUGAUAUAUUUACUGAUCAUAAGAGCUUGAAGUAUAUUUUCACUCAGAAGGAUUUGAACCUCAGGCAGAGGAGAUGGUUGGAGCUUAUUAAAGAUUAUGAUUUGAAUGUGCAGUAUCAUCCUGGUAAGGCUAAUGUUGUUGUUGAUGCAUUGAGUCGUAGGAGCCAUGCUAAUGCAAUAAAUAUUGAUGAUAUGCCACCGGAGUUAUGUGAGCAGUUCAGGAAUCUCAGGUUGGAGAUGGUUCCUAAGGGAUAUUUAGCAACACUUGAGGUAAAGCCUACUUUGCUUGACAGGAUCAGAGAAGCUCAAAAGAAUGAUAAGGAGAUUGCUGAGAUAAAAGAGAAUAUGGUUAAAGGUAAGGCAGAA